rnacentral:rRNA from 1 species
GGGUCUGAAUUAAGCCAUAAGUGAAACUUGACUUAGUUAAAGCUAAGAGGGCCGGUAAAACUCGUGCCAGCCACCGCGGUUAUACGAGAGACCCAAGUUGUUAGACACCGGCGUAAAGAGUGGUUAAGAUUGACUCAAAACUAAAGCCGAACGCCUUCAGAGCUGUUAUACGCACCCGAAGGUAAGAAGCCCAACCACGAAAGUGGCUUUACACCAUCCGAACCCACGAAAGCUAUGAUACAAACUGGGAUUAGAUACCCCACUAUGCCUAGCCAUAAACAUUGAUAGUAAACUACACCUACUAUCCGCCCGGGAACUACGAGCAUCAGCUUGAAACCCAAAGGACUUGGCGGUGCUUUAGAUCCACCUAGAGGAGCCUGUUCUAGAACCGAUUACCCCCGUUCAACCUCACCUUUCCUUGUUUUUCCCGCCUAUAUACCACCGUCGUCAGCUUACCCUAUGAAGGACUUAUAGUAAGCAAGAUUGGCACAGCCCAAAACGUCAGGUCGAGUGA